rnacentral:misc_RNA from 1 species
UUAUUAUGUUUAUUAAAACUUGUUUACAUUCAUUAUACUGAGUUUAAUUAAAAAGGGGGGUUGACCUACUCGAUUUCCACCUUGCGGUUUCCAAAGAGCAGCCAAGAGCACAGGGUGUAUGUGGAUGUGAAGGGACUUGAAGAGCUCUUGCGAGACUCUAACAAGUAUUUAAAUCACUAGUGAUCCUUCCGCAGGUUCACCUACGGAAA